rnacentral:tRNA from 1 species
GUGGGAAUAGCUCAGUGGUAGAGCCUGUGCUUAGCAUGCAUGAGGUCCUGGGUUCAAUCCCCAGUACCUCCA